UCUCUCUCUCUCUCUCUCUCUCUCUCUCUCUCUCUCUCUCUCUCUCUCUCUCUCUCUCUCUCUUAGUCACAUCUUUAAGUCUCUUAGAGACGCGAGGCUCAUUCUCUUUCUCCAAACCUAACCAAACAUCAAUCCAAUAUCAUUGGUUUUUGGAGCGAAUACUUGUAAAUUUUGGAGGGCUCUGGUUCAUUCUAAGAUUGUUGCGUUGCAGCUUUCUGGAUGCAGGUUUGACACUUUGUCGAAUUGGAACAAUGAUGAUGGAGAAGCCAUGGGAGC